GACGAACGCUGGCGGCAGGCCUAACACAUGCAGGUCGAACGCUUCAGCAAUGAAGAGUGGCAGACGGGUGAGUAACGCGUGGGAACCUUCCCAGUGGUACGGAAUAGCCCAGGGAAACUUGGGGUAAUACCGUAUAAGCCCUUCGGGGAAAGAUUUAUCGCCAUUGGAUGGGCCCGCGUCGGAUUAGCUUGUUGGUGAGGUAAAAGCUCACCAAGGCGACGAUCCGUAGCUGGUCUGAGAGGAUGAUCAGCCACACUGGGACUGAGACACGGCCCAGACUCCUACGGGAGGCAGCAGUGGGGAAUAUUGGACAGUGGGCGCAAGCCUGAUCCAGCCAUGCCGCGUGAGUGACGAAGGCCUUAGGGUUGUAAAGCUCUUUUGGCGGGGACGAUAAUGACGGUACCCGCAGAAUAAGCCCCGGCUAACUCCGUG
rnacentral:rRNA from 1 species